CCUACGGGGGGCAGCAGUGGGGAAUAUUGGACAAUGGGGGGAACCCUGAUCCAGCCAUGCCGCGUGUGUGAAGAAGGCCCUCGGGUUGUAAAGCACUUUCAGUGAGGAAGAACGCCUGGUGGUUAAUACCCAUCAGGAAAGACAUCACUCACAGAAGAAGCACCGGCUAACUCCGUGCCAGCAGCCGCGGUAAUACGGAGGGUGCAAGCGUUAAUCGGAAUUACUGGGCGUAAAGCGCGCGUAGGUGGCUUGAUAAGCCGGUUGUGAAAGCCCCGGGCUCAACCUGGGAACGGCAUCCGGAACUGUCAAGCUAGAGUGCAGGAGAGGAAGGUAGAAUUCCCGGUGUAGCGGUGAAAUGCGUAGAGAUCGGGAGGAAUACCAGUGGCGAAGGCGGCCUUCUGGACUGACACUGACACUGAGGUGCGAAAGCGUGGGUAGCAAACAGGAUUAGAUACCCGAGUAGUC
rnacentral:rRNA from 1 species